GACGAACGCUGGCGGCGCGCCUAACACAUGCAAGUCGAACGGAGUCAAGAGGAGCUUGCUUUUCUUGACUUAGUGGCGAACGGGUGAGUAACGCGUGAGUAACCUGCCCUGGAGUGGGGGACAACAGUUGGAAACGACUGCUAAUACCGCAUAAGCCCACGGAUCUGCAUGGAUCUGCGGGCAAAGGAUUUAUUCGCUCUAGGAUGGACUCGCGUCCAAUUAGCUAGUUGGUGAGGUAACGGCCCACCAAGGCGACGAUUGGUAGCCGGACUGAGAGGUUGAACGGCCACAUUGGGACUGAGACACGGCCCAGACUCCUACGGGAGGCAGCAGUGGGGGAUAUUGCACAAUGGGGGAAACCCUGAUGCAGCGACGCCGCGUGGAGGAAGAAGGUUUUCGGAUUGUAAACUCCUGUCGUUAGGGACGAUAAUGACGGUACCUAACAAGAAAGCACCGGCUAACUACGUG
rnacentral:rRNA from 1 species